rnacentral:lncRNA from 1 species
AUGUAUUCCAGGUCUCCCAAGAAGACAGUGGCAAUCCUUGCAGUGGUACCCAGGUCUCCUAAUCCCCAGCCCAGAAUUCUUUUCGCCACUCCAAAUUGUCUUUCUGCCCUGGUCUGUGCCUGUCUCAGAAAGCCACACCUCUGUCAACCUGUGCUGAAGUCAUGCCCACUCUCACCCCCCACCCAUAGGUUCUUCAUCGAGUCUGCCCUCUGGUACUGCUCCUUGGGGAAACUGGACAUCACCCUGAAGGCCCUGCAGAGAGUGGCCCAGAUCGACAGGAAGCAGAGAGAAGGUGCCAAACUGAGUGUGGAGGCAGAGAGGUCUGAGCAUGACAGCCUCCUUGGCCAACACAGGCAGCAUCCUGAGCCCGCUGGUGAGCACGGCCUCAGAGGUUUACCCUUCCCUGCCUCUCUGCAUCUCUGGAGCUGCCUGUCCCAUCACUGUCCUCCUGCCGGAGACUCUGGGGCAGCCACUGCCCAACACAGUGCAGGACCUGGAGAGAAGGUAGGCUGCCCCCUCUCCCCACCGCCCAGAGCUAUAAGGAGCUCCCAGCUUCUUGAUUCAGCCCCAUUUGCCAAAAAAAAAAAAAAAAGGCCAGACCUGGAGUUUCCAUCUCGGCUCAGUGGUAACGAACCUGACUAGUAUCCAUGAGGACGCAGGUUCGAUCCCUGGCCCCACUCAGUGGGUUAAGGAUCCGGCAUUGCUGUGGCUGUGGCAUAGGCUGGCAGCUACAGUUCUGACUGGACCCUUAGCCUUGGAACUUCCAUAUGCUGCAGGUGCGGCCCUAAAAAGACAGGGACUAACCAGUGGUCAUUCAGUUGGACUCUGGUGGAGCCAAGGCCAGAAUCAAGGCCUCCUGCCUCCUGAGGCUCCUGGUCCCGUUCUCACAGAUAAGUGGAGUCCCCCAGAAUCCUUUCUGGGACUCUCAGCUCUUGGAAACAGCGAGGGAUUUGGAAUAAAGCGGGACCGCCGAGCA